CAGCGUUCGGAAGCGAGGAUGUUGACAUGAGUAGCGACAAAGCGGGUGAGAGACCCGCUCGCCGAAAGUCCAAGGGUUCCUGCUUAAAGCUAAUCUGAGCAGGGUGAGCCGACCCCUAAGGCGAGGCCGAAAGGCGUAGUCGAUGGGAACCAGGUUAAUAUUCCUGGGCCAGGAGGAAGUGACGGAUCGUGGACGUUGUCAGGCCUUAUCGGAUUGGUCUGGCUUCCAAGCGGUUCCUGGAAAUAGCCCUCCAUGAGAUCGUACCCUAAACCGACACAGGUGGACUGGUAGAGCAUACCAAGGCGCUUGAGAGAACUACGUUGAAGGAACUCGGCAAAAUGCCUCCGUAACUUCGGGAGAAGGAGGCCCCGUUGGUGGGCAACCAUUGGCGGGGGGCACAGACCAGGGGGGUGGCGACUGUUUACUAAAAACACAGGACUCUGCGAAGCCCAAAGGCGACGUAUAGGGUCUGACGCCUGCCCGGUGCCGGAAGGUUAAAAGGAGGGGUGCAAGCUCCGAAUUGAAGCCCCGGUAAACGGCGGCCGUAACAAUAACGGUCCUAAGGUAGCGAAAUUCCUUGUCGGGUAAGUUCCGACCUGCACGAAUGGCGUAACGACUUCCCCGCUGUCUCCAACGUAGACUCAGCGAAAUUGAACUCCCCGUGAAGAUGCGGGGUUCCCGCGGUCAGACGGAAAGACCCCGUGCACCUUUACUACAGCUUCACACUGGCAUCAGGUUGGCCAUGUGCAGGAUAGGUGGCAGGCUUUGAAGCGGGGACGCCAGUUCCCGGGGAGCCUCCCUUGAGAUACCACCCUUGGCCUGCCUGAUGUCUAACCGCGGACCGUCAUCCGGUUCCGGGACCCUGUGUGGCGGGUAGUUUGACUGGGGCGGUCGCCUCCCAAAGAGUAACGGAGGCGCGCGAUGGUGGGCUCAGGUUGGUCGGAAAUCAACCGUCGAGUGCAAUGGCAUAAGCCCGCCUGACUGCGAGACUGACAAGUCGAGCAGAGACGAAAGUCGGCCAUAGUGAUCCGGUGGUCCCGCGUGGAAGGGCCAUCGCUCAACGGAUAAAAGGUACGCCGGGGAUAACAGGCUGAUACUGCCCAAGAGUCCAUAUCGACGGCAGUGUUUGGCACCUCGAUGUCGGCUCAUCUCAUCCUGGGGCUGGAGAAGGUCCCAAGGGUACGGCUGUUCGCCGUUUAAAGUGGUACGUGAGCUGGGUUUAGAACGUCGUGAGACAGUUCGGUCCCUAUCUGCCGUGGGUGUCGGAGACUUGAGAGGAGUUGCCCCUAGUACGAGAGGACCGGGGUGAACGCACCACUGGUGGACCUGUUGUCGUGCCAACGGCAGUGCAGGGUAGCUAUGUGCGGACAGGAUAACCGCUGAAGGCAUCUAAGCGGGAAGCCCCCCUCAAAACCAGGUCUCCCUUGAGGGCCGUGGAAGACCACCACGUCGAUAGGCCGGAGGUACAAGCGCAGCAAUGCGUUCAGCUGACCGGUACUAAUCGCCUG
rnacentral:rRNA from 1 species